GAAUGUGAGGUGAGUGAUAUGCCUACAACAUCUGCCCCCCUGUUGAUCACCAGUGCUGCAAAGGCCAAUCUGACUGACCGGGCAGGUGACCCCUUGCUCUCUUAUUACUCCCUGUGUAUGCCCCAAAGCUGUGAUGAAGAGGAUGACCUUCCUCAAGACAGGAAGACUCUUCUUCAGUUAAGGGCAUUCUAGUAACCGUGCUCCCCUGCUAGAACCUCCACACAAACCUAGAUUUACCUUUUAUAUGACAGUGAGUACCAGUUUUCAGUGUCCGUCCCAGACACCCUUCCUGACUUCACUCGACUAGUCAACAUG
rfam:Otolemur garnettii contig004407, whole genome shotgun sequence.